GUUUGGUUACAAGAUGGUUUCCCCAAGAUUCUAAAGUAGAAUCCCUCCAAUGGUGAUCCACAUGGAAAAUGAUUAAGGUCCUUCCCAACCAAUAUAGUGCUGCAGUCUUUUCUUUAUAAGAACACUACGGGCUUCCUUCAUAAGGAUCGAUCACACUACCACCUGUACGCUUUCGAUUCCUCCACUAGGAUCAUGCCAAGAGCCUCUUCUCAAGAGAUCUCACUACCCA
rnacentral:lncRNA from 1 species